AACGAACGCUGGCGGCAUGCCUAACACAUGCAAGUCGAACGAGAACAUCGGGUCUAGGGGCGCACGGGUGCGUAACGCGUGGGAACCUGCCCUUAGGGUCGGAAUAACUCCCCGAAAGGGGUGCUAAUACCGGACAAUGUCUUCGGACCAAAGAUUUAUCGACCUUGGAGGGGCCCGCGUUGGAUUAGCUAGUUGGUAGGGUAAAAGCCUCCCAAGGCGACGAUCCAUAGCUGGUCUGAGAGGAAGGUCAGCCACACUGGGACUGGGACACGGCCCAGACUCCUACGGGAGGCAGCAGUGGGGAAUAGUGGACCGCGGGCGAAAGCCUGAUCCAGCUAUGCCGCGUGAGUGAUGAUGGCCUUAGGGUUGUAAAGCUCUUUUACCCGGGAUGAUAAUGACAGUACCGGGAGAAUAAGCUCCGGCUAACUCCGUG
rnacentral:rRNA from 1 species